CGUCUAUAUACGUAUAGCAUAUCAAUAAGCGGAGGAAAAGAAACUAACUAGGAUUCCCUCAGUAACGGCGAGUGAAGCGGGAAGAGCUCAAAUUUGAAAUCUUCAAGGUUUUACCUUGACGAAUUGUAGUUUAAAGAAGUGUUUUCUGUUGGAAUUUUGGUAAAAGUUCUUUGGAAAAAGACAUCAAAGAGGGUGAGAAUCCCGUAUUUGACCAUUAUUUCCAGCUUUGUGAUACACUUUCAAAGAGUCGGAUUGUUUGGGAAUGCAGUCCAAAAUGGGUGGUAAAUUUCAUCUAAAGCUAAAUACUGGCGAGAGACCGAUAGCGAACAAGUACCGUGAGGGAAAGAUGAAAAGAACUUUGAAAAGAGAGUUAAACAGUACGUGAAAUUGUCAAAAGGGAAGCGUUUGACACCAGUGUUGUUUUCUCGAAAAUCAAUUAAAAAUGGCUAGGAUUUUGUGUUGUAUUGACUUUAUCAGCUUUCUGCACUUUUUUCCUGUCUUUUUUAAUGCACUUUUCGUUUAACAAGUCAACAUCAAUUUCUUUUGUUGUAAAAGAGUCAUUGGAAGGUGGCUUUCUUUUCGGAGAAAGUGUUUAUAGCCUUUGCCUCUGCAAUCGGAGAGAUUGAGGUCUGCAGCGUAGAUCCUUCGGGGUUAGAUGCAUUUGUGCUAAGUUAUAGCCUUUCAUAGACAACUUGUUGACUAUGAUCAGUCAUGUAGCUUACUCGCUUAUGUUAUUUUACCUACGCUUAGGAUGUUGACGAUCAGCUGAGCGCG
rnacentral:rRNA from 1 species